UUUUUUUUGGACUGUCUACUGAGUUGAAAAAAUGCCCUUAUAAGUUUUGAAAAAUUUUGAUGGGAUGGGACAGAAUUAUAUUUUUUCAGAAGAAGGAGAGAAAAUUGCUCUGCAAUAUAUAAUUACAGUUAGAUGUGACUAAUUAAGACCACAUUCGAGUAUAACAGAAGAUACUUAAGCCCUCUUAUCAAGGUGGAUUUGUCGAACGCAAAAGAGUGGAACGAAAAUAAUUGCACUGGAAGCUCAAAAGACUGCCAGAGGGUUACAGUUCCCGAAAAAUGUUUGAAGGUAUAAUGACAAAUAGAAAGUUUAGGCAUCAGGAUCAACUCAUGUGAGUAUAAAAAAGAGAUCACCUGGCUGUGGACAACGACUGAACUAUGGAGUCAGCAUCAUAACCGCCAGUCAUUAGUAAAUAUCGCUUUUCAGAACAUGUCCAUAGGAUGCAUAAAUAGUCGCUGACGCUGAAAAUGUUUAAUGCGGUACUAGCACGUGAUGAAGGAGAACGGAGAAGGAGAACGGAGAUUAUAUCUUUUUAAAAAGGUGAAGUAGAAAGCAACAGAUGAGCGUGGUUUCACAGGCGGCAAUGAUUUUUUAUUCCACCUACUUGAAAAAUUUUGACUCGGUAACUGUUUACUGAUCUUUCUCAUUGCCAUAUUCGUCCAACGCGUAAUGUGCUUGUACAAAAACGCCUACACGAAAAUUCAAUAUUAUGUUCAAUUCAAACAUUUAUGAUGGACCAGCGAGACCACAAGCGGACAGCCAAUGUGCAGUCAACCUCGAAUUGGCUUUGGCCGAAACGGGCAGCAAACAAAUUUAUUGUAGUAGUUGCACGCAAAAAAUUAAGUAGUAAAAUAUGUAUGUGAAAUGUUAGUGAUUGUGACAGCAGUUGGCCGCUUUAUUUGGAUUUUCAACGCCACUUCCCACAACAAAGCGGCAGUUCGAUAGAGUGCACAGUGGCACGAGAAGUAAAUGCACAUAUAAGUACAUACAAUAUAUUUCUGAAAUAUAUAUUUUUAACUGAAUAUUUUAAUUCAAAA